GACGAACCGUGCGAACGUUGUUCGGAAUCACUGGGCUUAAAGGGCGCGUAGGCGGGCCACCAAGUCUGGGGUGAAAGCCCCCGGCUCAACCGGGGAAUUGCCUGAGAUACUGGUGGUCUGGAGGGAGGUAGGGGCAGCGGGAACUUCCGGUGGAGCGGUGAAAUGCGUUGAUAUCGGAAGGAACGCCGGUGGCGAAAGCGCGCUGCUGGACCUCUUCUGACGCUGAGGCGCGAAAGCUAGGGGAGCGAACGGG
rnacentral:rRNA from 2 species